GCAAUCUACUGGCUGGCUGUCCCUCCUUCAACCUGCACACCCUGCCUGGCUCCCUGGAAGUCCACUAUGCCGGGAGAUCCAUGGAAGCUUCCUGGAGAAUGCUGGGAUCGCGUGUUUCCUGCUGGGCUCCACCAGCUGAGGAUGCCAAGCCCAGAGAGGCUGCAAGACAAGUCACAGGCACCCAGGCUAGACACUAAGUGCUGAGUGUCUUCUGGAAAGCACCCAUGCAGGGGCACACGUGAUUCCUUCCAGAAAAAGAAUCUCCAGAUGAAUGUCGCUAUUUCAGCCCCAUCCAAAAGGGCGAAUCUUGGGGAUUUCACAGGAGUUUCUGUGCUGAUGGCCUCCCAGGUACCACUACCUAUGACCGACUGUGACAAAGAAGAGAAACGCACAU